GACGGAGGAUGCAAGUGUUAUCCGGAAUCACUGGGCGUAAAGCGUCUGUAGGUGGUUUAAAAAGUCCACUGUUAAAAAUUGAAGCUUAACUUCAAAGAUGCCGUGGAAACUUUUAAACUUGAGUAUGGUAGGGGUAGAGGGAAUUUCCAGUGGAGCGGUGAGAUGCGUAGAUAUUGGAAAGACCACCAAUGGCGAAGGCACUCUACUGGGCCAUUACUGACACUGAGAGACGAAAGCUAGGGGAGCAAAUGGG
rnacentral:rRNA from 1 species